GUUUUCUCGCUCUCGCAACCCUGCUUUAACUGCCGGUUUAUUUUUCGACAAACAGGAUGCCUCCAUCUGAGGCUGUCAGCAUCCCAGGCUCUUUGAGAGAAAAGAGGUAGUGCAGCCCCACCCUAGAGGCAAGGCCGGGGGCUCGGUUUCAAGAGGCUUCCCAGAGAAGCGGCACCCCUGCAGGUGCGGCCGCUGGGAGAACAUCAAGAAGGGCGAGGAGGCAGGAGGGAGUGAAACCGGCCGUGCCCGCCACCCCCCACCCCGCCCUGCAACUGAUUCCGCUGCCGCCGCUCUGCACGCCUCCCCAGGCAGAGCGGCUCCAAUUGUGGGGGACAGCUUGGAGAUCUAGGACAGUGCUCCCCGAAUGUUAAUGUGCACGCAGAUCACCUGAAGCUCCCGUGAAAAUGCAGACUCUAAAUCCGCGGAUCUCGGACGGGGCCUGAGAGUCUGCUCUUCUAUCAAGUUCCCAGUGAUGCUGCAGCUGCUGGUCCAAAGACCACGCUUUGAAUGGCCAGAUUUUUGAGAGUCUUCAUGAAAGAUAUGCUGAUCAUCCCUUUAUGAUACAGUUCCAGUACAUCCCUUCAAACACAGUUUUAAAAGAGGCUGUGUGCUCUUUAUAAAAAAAAGUGGACGAGAGAGAAGAGGCUGUUUUGAAGCAACUCCCACUGCUUCUUUGUAUUGUCUGGACUCCGAUCUGACCUGUGGUGGAGCCCAAGGAGAAAAGAAAGGAACUUUCUGCAACUCUGUGGUAAUUCGCUGUAGAAUCAUCAGAUGAAAAAUGCCUUUUAUACAAAUAAGGGUAAAGAGAGAAAAAGAAAACCUCAAACCCACCUACUUGAAAAAAGGCCUCGUAAUGACGUCAGAGGACGGGUGACGUGGACUUCUGAAAUUACAGAAGUUUCUGCAGAAGGACAGAGCAUCCUGGCCAGGUGAGUGGGCCUCUAGCUUUGCAGCUCUGGCGUGCGGGGUCCGGCUGGCGGGAGGCAGUCCAGCCACUUUUGCUAUACAGCUGAAUCAGCCGUUUCUGGGUGGAAUUUUUAUCCCAACCACAGGAAGAGUUGGAUGUGAGUGUCUGCUGGGAGCCUCACUGAAAACCUGGCUGGAGUCAGGGUCCUGACGGGCUGGCUCCCUGGGACUCCAUGGCUUCCUGAAGGGUGGACCUGGGUGCUAGGCCCCUGAUUACUGGGCAGAUCAUUCCAUGGGUUCUUCUGUACGUGGGUCCCGGACACGGACCAGGAUGGGGCAAGAGAGGCACCCAGGAUGUGCAAUUUAAGAAGGUGUUGUCUCUCCUGUUUGUGCAAGUGCAGGAUCAGCCUGACAUUACUCCAAGAGUGAUCAUCUCUUUAAGGUAUUUUUCCAGGAAGUGCCUCGCUGAAUCAAACUAGUCCUUCCCCAGAUAGACUGCCAGACUGCUAAGUGCACAACUAGGUGGUUGGGAAGAAAGACUUAAUAAUGGUCUCCCCCAGCCAGCAGCUCACCAUCAUCUUGGGAACAGGUGAGUCUGAUUUCCACUGAAGUGUGUGCACUGCCGGUUUAGAGAAGCAUCCGCUGUGGGCAACCCCGGAACCACCAGAAUGUCUCCCUUGGGGUGAAGCUCUGAUGGGGAGGGGCCGUGAGGAUUAAACUAGUGGGCAGGGGAGGCAUUGACACUGACAGUGGGGACCUAAAACGACCACAUGCAUCCAGAAGCAGGCAAGCGGUUCGGGAUGGUGGACUUAACAGUGGACAGUGGCCCUGGUUUGAGGCCACCUGAGGUUCAGCCCCCCACAGUGUCACCUGCUUUCCGGGGGCCUUGGCAAGUCCCUGACUCCAUAAAGCUCAGCUUUCUUGUGUGUCAGACUGAGAGAAUGGCAACACCCACUGUCCUCCCUGCACAGGCGGUAGGCUCUGCAGGGCAAACCCCUUCAUUCAGACCUGGCUCCCCCCUCCCCUAGCAGCCUAACUUCAGGCAGGUUACCUAAUCUCUGCAUGCCCUGCUCCCCUCAAUAAAAUAGGAUUAGAAAAGAGAGUAGCUACUCCUGGGUUUGUGCGAAAGAUUUAAGGAGGUCAUGCAAGAAAGUGCUUGGCAGGGUCAGUACGGGGCGCUUGGCACAUGCUCAGUAUAUGCUAGCUGUCACUGCGAUCAGCUUUAAAAAUUCACAACUCAGCCAUCGGCCGAGGCGCACUCAGACCACGUCUGCACUGCUGCGUAGUGGGGGGUAGACCCAGUUCUGCAUCCUGCCCUGGGCUGGCUCCUGGCUCAGCUAUGGGGCUGUGUGCUGGGCCAGCAGGGCUCACUUCCCUGCCCACUCUGCUCUAUACACCUUCAGUGGAAUUUUCCAGUUGCCGUUACUUACUGACUUCCUCUAUGUGUCCCUUGCUUCCUAUGUAUUAUCUCUAACCCUUUCGACAGCCAUCCAAAGUAGGGAUUGUUGCACCCACUUUCCAGAGCCCCUUGCCCUAAAGAUGGAAUAGAAACCGACCUCCUGACUCCAAAGCACUGGGCUCCCCACUCUCCUGCUGGCUGAUCAGGCCCAUCCUUCCCCUUGGCCUCCCCAUCACAGACAGCUCCCAGGGAAGGACCUGGUGCUCAAGAACACACGCCUUCUUCUGGAGUGGAGUUUAUACUUCAGCACCCAUGGGAGCAUCCCGGUGAAGGGCUCAGGUCCCUGCUGAUGGCAGCUGAGCCCCCAGUGAGCAAGACACGAAAUGUGCAGGCCUGGGGACUUCCUGAUUUAAACGGAGGUAUUCAUGAAGAGGAAGGAAAAACACAUCGCAGCUUGCCUUUUUAGUUUUUAUCUUGUUUUAAUUUCUAAUUUUGGCACGUGUUUUACACUGUACACACUGAUUACAUCGGAACAGCAGCACAGGCAUGUAAACGAUAAAUGUAUAACUCGGCCUAGGUUUGGGGGCAUGUGCGGUGAGUUUUCCUUCUAUUUGGCACGAUCACAGGAAUUUGGAAAUUACUGUCUUUUUUUUUUUUUCCCAAGAAAAACAAUUGACAGUAUUUAUUGCCAUUGAGAAAAUUUGAGCUUUCAAGUGAAAAUUUGAAUUUUGUAGAACUUGUUUCUGCUACUGGGAGCUUAAGAGCAGACUGGUAUUUCAACACAUUUGCUGAGGAGAUUGACGGUGAUGUUAACAAAGAUGAUUUCCUAAUAUUCUGUACUGAAAUGUAUUGACAUUUGGAAGAUCUGCACAACUCAGUAAACCAGUAUUUGGAAAUUA